rnacentral:rRNA from 1 species
GAUGAACGCUGGCGGCGUGCCUAAUACAUGCAAGUCGAGCGAACAGACGAGGAUCUUGCUCCUCUGACGUUAGCGGCGGACGGGUGAGUAACACGUGGAUAACCUACCUAUAAGACUGGGAUAACUUCGGGAAACCGGAUCUAAUACCGGAUAAUAUAUUGAACCGCAUGGUUCAAUAGUGAAAGACGGUUUUGCUGUCACUUAUAGAUGGAUCCGCGCCGCAUUAGCUAGUUGGUAAGGUAACGGCUUACCAAGGCAACGAUGCGUAGCCGACCUGAGAGGGUGAUCGGCCACACUGGAACUGAGACACGGUCCAGACUCCUACGGGAGGCAGCAGUAGGGAAUCUUCCGCAAUGGGCGAAAGCCUGACGGAGCAACGCCGCGUGAGUGAUGAAGGUCUUCGGAUCGUAAAGCUCUGUUAUUAGGGAAGAACAAAUGUGUAAGUAACUAUGCACGUCUUGACGGUACCUAAUCAGAAAGCCACGGCUAACUACGUG